AUUGAACGCUGGCGGCAGGCCUAACACAUGCAAGUCGAGCGAGCGGCGGACGGGUGAGUAAUGUAUGGGGACUGCCCGCUAGAGGGGGAUAACUCCUGGAAACGGUGGCUAAUACCGCAUACUGUCUGAUAAUCCAUAUGUGUUUAGUUAGUAGGUAAGGUAAUGGCUUACCUAGGCGACGAUCCCUAGCUGGUCUGAGAGGAGGAUCAGCCACACUGGGACUGUGACACGGCCCAGAAUCCUACGGUGGUAGCAGAGGGGAAUGUUGCACAAUGGUCGAAAGCCGGAUGCAGAAAUGCCGGGUGUAUGAAGAGGUCCUUAGGGGUGUAAAGUACGUUCAGUCGGGAGGCGUUAACGAAAGAAGAAGGACCGGCUAACUCCGUGCCAGCAGCCGCGGUAAUUC
rnacentral:rRNA from 1 species